AGUGAACGCUGGCGGUAGGCCUAACACAUGCAAGUCGAACGGCAGCACAGUAAGAGCUUGCUCUUACGGGUGGCGAGUGGCGGACGGGUGAGGAAUACAUCGGAAUCUACUUUUUCGUGGGGGAUAACGUAGGGAAACUUACGCUAACACCGCAUACGACCUACGGGUGAAAGCAGGGGAUCUUCGGACCUUGCGCGAUUGAAUGAGCCGAUGUCGGAUUAGCUAGUUGGCGGGGUAAAGGCCCACCAAGGCGACGAUCCGUAGCUGGUCUGAGAGGAUGAUCAGCCACACUGGAACUGAGACACGGUCCAGACUCCUACGGGAGGCAGCAGUGGGGAAUAUUGGACAAUGGGCGCAAGCCUGAUCCAGCCAUACCGCGUGGGUGAAGAAGGCCUUCGGGUUGUAAAGCCCUUUUGUUGGGAAAGAAAAGCAGCAGGUUAAUACCCCACUGUUCUGACGGUACCCAAAGAAUAAGCACCGGCUAACUUCGUG
rnacentral:rRNA from 1 species